rnacentral:misc_RNA from 1 species
AAGUCGUAACAAGGUUUCCGUAGGUGAACCUGCGGAAGGAUCAUUAUUGAAUUAAAAUCUGGCUUGGUUGUUGCUGGUCUUUUGCGAGACAUGUGCACGCCUCGUCAUUUUUAUAUUACCACCUGUGCACCUUUUGUAGACUUGAACAACAUUUUUUCCGAGGUAACUCGGUCGUGAGGAAUUGCUUAUAAAAUGGCUCUCCUUGAAUGUUAUUCAAGCCUAUGUUUUCAUAUACACCAUAAGCAUGUAAUAGAAUGUAGUUAUUAGACUUUAAUGUCUUAUAAACUUUAUACAACUUUCAGCAACGGAUCUCUUGGCUCUC